UAUAUUUAUAUAUUACACAUCAAGCAUCAAGACUAUAUUUCUGGUUAGUUGACUAUAUUUCUAGGCAGCAGGGAAGAGGGAGGAGGAAGCAAGCAGCAGCGGGCUACUUGGAUUGGAGCUGGAAUGGGGAGGAAGAAGCAGGCAGCAGGGAAGAGGGAGGAGGAAGCAGCAAGCAAGCAGCCCGCUGCUUAGCAGCCGGGGUACGGGAACAUGGGCACGUUCCUCGUUCCGAGAACUUCGUCCCGAAACGUGGAACGGAAACAUCAUGGAACAUCGUUCCCAAAUGCGGUGGAACACGAAUCAUAUAUAGGAGCAAUCAUAGGAACGUCAGUCCCAAGCGACUAUGGAACUUCGUGGUGUGUGUGCAUACUGCGCCGUGCCCGUCCGUGAGCGGUCGGCGAAAAAUCUAGAUGGUGAUCGACUCAUUGGCCUAGACCUGCAAUGAGCCUUAAGGUUGGAGUUGGACAGCCCUAAAUAAAACAAAAAUACAAUAGUAAAUUAUAUCACGCUAGGAAUCGAACUCAUUUGGUUCAAAACAACACGUAAAACUACCUGAGCCAACCACUACGUCCCAAACACGUUCCUUUAGAAAGUGGAACGCGUUCCGCAACUUAAAGGAACGAGACGAAGCUAUAUACCCCCUACGUUCCAUAGUUUAUGAGAAUGUCGUACCGCGUACCACGUUUCCGUACCACGUACCCUAUGUUCCGGGAACUUGGCUGCUAAGGCCCGCUGCUUGGAUUGGAGCUGGAAUAGGGAGGAAGAAGCAGGCAGCAGGGAAGAGGGAGGAGGAAGCAACAAACAAGCAGCAAGCAGCACGAGCAGGAGCAGCAGCUCAGUAGCUGACAGCUGGAGUGGGAGUGAGGACUGAGAAGGGAGUGGGGGUGAAGUUAUAAGGGAAACCCUAAUGGGCCUAGCCCAAUUAAAUA
rnacentral:lncRNA from 1 species